CGACCUGAGAACAAUGAAACAUCACACGGGGCGAGGGGCUUCGCGGCCUUUCGUCCCCAAACGGUCGGGGCCUCGAACGGCAGGGAGACACUCGUGCCUUCUUGUCGAACAACGAACCCCGGCGCGGUCUGCGCCAAGGAACUUCAAUUAAAGAGUGCCUCCGGUCGCCUCGGAAACGAUGCGCGUGUCGGAGGCGAAUCUUGUACAAAACCAUAACGACUCUCGGCAACGGAUAUCUCGGCUCUCGCAUCGAUGAAGAACGUAGCGAAAUGCGAUACUUGGUGUGAAUUGCAGAAUCCCGCGAAUCAUCGAGUCUUUGAACGCAAGUUGCGCCCGAAGCCAUCUGGUCGAGGGCACGUCUGCCUGGGUGUCACGCAUCGUCGUCCCCCCAUCCUCUCGAGGAUAUGGGACGGAAGCUGAUCUCUCGUGUGUUACCGCACGCGGUUGGCCAAAAUCCGAGCUAAGAACGUCAGGAGCGUCUUGACAUGCGGUGGUGAAUUUAAUUCUCGUCAUAUAGUCAGACGUUCCGGUCCAAAAGCUCUUGAUGACCCAAAGUCCUCAACGCGACCCCAGGUCAGGCGGGAUCACCCGCUGAG
rnacentral:rRNA from 1 species